GCUCCACGACACGAUUGCUAACCUGAGGCGUUACACUCACCACAUCCUGCGCCGAAUCGUUCCAAACGAGCGGAUUUCAUCGGUUAUGGUUCCAAGCUGCACCUCCAUCACCUCAACACUGGUCGGUUUACCACCGCCAAACAUCGCCGCCAGUCCUGCACCUCACCGGUAUCAUCCCCGCCUGAUCCAAGAACGAAAGU
rnacentral:rRNA from 1 species